GUUUUCUGCUUCUGCUGGGAAAAAAGUCCAGUUGAAUGUAAAUUAUGUAAUUCUAAUCGUGUGGUUUUGUGUUGCUCUGAGAAAGGUGUGUGUGCAACUGGUAAAAAUCUGACACUGCACAAAAGUAAUAAUGCAACAUUGUUUCUAAGCAUCGACUUAUAUUGUAAUAAUUCAAAACAAAACAAAUU